ACAGUCUGAAAAAUCCCAGACGUGUCACAAAGGAUGAGCACAAAGCUGUGUGUCUGGUGCCAGUGCACUGCCAGCCCUCCCCUCCCCAACUCCGGUUUCUGGGUUGAACCUCAGGCCCACAGAGGGGAUGUAGGGACUGGGAAAGGGCAUGGGGCCUCUCUUGAUUCUUGAGGCUUCUAAAGUUCUGAUACAUUUGCUCAACUUGUCCCUCCACACAAGUCAUCAACGUGCCUACAGGGCAAACAAGCAGAGUCUAGCUCAAGAGGUUAGUUGUCUUUGCCCAAAACUAAAUGCAAAUCAUGUGGGGCUGGAGUUCUUUCUCGGACAGAGAUGGAAUCCCCACCAAGGAGUUCCUGACCAGAAUGAUGGUGAGAAGCCUCAGCUUCUAGUGUCUCUGGGAACAGCUGCUGUCUCUGAUCAUUUCAGAUGAGUGACCUACAGAGGAGUGAGGAUUCUUGGCAUGGUCUCACAGCUGGAAAGAAGAAUGCCCUACCUAUGGGAAACACAGGACGCCGUUGCUCCCGGGUGUUUUGUGUGUGAUCAAAGCAACUGAGGUAGGAACAGAAAGGAUAAGGUUCAAGAUGGAAUAUCACAAUAUCCAGAAAUGGUAUGAAAUUAGCAUAGCUGCAGGAAAGUUGAAAAAGCUAAAGUCCUCUCAGGAGGGGAAGUCAGGACAUGGUUUGCUAAAGCUUACUUAAUAACAAGGAGAAGAAACUCGCCAAGAAGAGGCCCUGGGUCAGACUGGCAGCCACGCACAGUAGAAGGUGACCCAUGUAGAUGGGUGAGCAGGAGUAUUUCCCACAGGAUUUAGACUUGACAACAUGGGCAGCUGGAAUAUGUGGAGUAAUUCUGUGUGGUGAAAGGAGCCCUGGUUGAGAGUCAAGAGACCUGGCUGGGAUCCAUGGUGCUGCUGCAAAGUGACCCCUACGACCUUGGGGGAAGUCACUGCACUUCAGAUCUCUGUUUCUUUAUCUACAAAACGCGGGGAUUACCAGCACUGUUUCAGUUCUGGAAUCCUAAUUCUGAAAUAAAUGUACUGCCGAGCAA